rnacentral:rRNA from 1 species
UACGUAGGGUGCAAGCGUUAAUCGGAAUUACUGGGCGUAAAGCGUGCGCAGGCGGUUAUGUAAGACAGGGGUGAAAUCCCCGGGCUUAACCUUGGAACUGCAUUUGUGACUGCAUAGCUAGAGUACGGUAGAGGGGGAUGGAAUUCCGCGUGUAGCAGUGAAAUGCGUAGAUAUGCGGAGGAACACCGAUGGCGAAGGCAAUCCCCCGGACCUGUACUGACGCUCAUGCACGAAAGCGUGGGGAGCAAACAGG